rnacentral:sRNA from 1 species
AAGAGUCGGUCCCCAAAUGAGGCGAAGCCUCAUUUUUGCAUGGGACCGACGAACUGCCCUCGAACAAAGUGAGGGGGCAAUACCGUAA